rnacentral:rRNA from 1 species
GAUGAACGCUGGCGGCGUGCCUAAUACAUGCAAGUCGAGCGAACAGGUAAGGAGCUUGCUCCUUUGACGUUAGCGGCGGACGGGUGAGUAACACGUGGGUAACCUACCUAUAAGACUGGGAUAACUUCGGGAAACCGGAGCUAAUACCGGAUAAUAUUUCGAACCGCAUGGUUCGAUAGUGAAAGAUGGUUUUGCUAUCACUUAUAGAUGGACCCGCGCCGUAUUAGCUAGUUGGUAAGGUAACGGCUUACCAAGGCGACGAUACGUAGCCGACCUGAGAGGGUGUUCUGCCCCACUGGAACUGAGACACGGUCCAGACUCCUACGGGAGGCAGCAGUAGGGAAUCUUCCGCAAUGGGCGAAAGCCUGACGGAGCAACGCCGCGUGAGUGAUGAAGGUCUUCGGAUCGUGAAGCUCUGUUAUUAGGGAAGAACAUACGUGUAAGUAACUGUGCACGUCUUGACGGUACCUAAUCAGAAAGCCACGGCUAACUACGUG